rnacentral:rRNA from 1 species
UUUCCUACGGGGGGCAGCAGUGGGGGAUAUUGCACAAUGGGGGGAACCCUGAUGCAGCGACGCCGCGUGGGUGAAGAAGCGCCUCGGCGCGUAAAGCCCUGUCAGCAGGGAAGAAAAUGACGGUACCUGAAGAAGAAGCCCCGGCUAACUACGUGCCAGCAGCCGCGGUAAUACGUAGGGGGCAAGCGUUAUCCGGAUUUACUGGGUGUAAAGGGAGCGUAGACGGCGAUGCAAGCCAGAUGUGAAAGCCCGGGGCUCAACCCCGGGACUGCAUUUGGAACUGUGUGGCUGGAGUGUCGGAGAGG